GACGAACGUUGGCGGCGUGCUUAAUACAUGCAAGUCAACUGAAGCAGUGGUAGCAAUAUCGCUGUGGAGGUGGCGCACGGGUGAGUAACACGUAGGUAAUCUGCCUUCAGGUCUGGCAUAACUCCGGGAAACCGGGGCUAAUAGCAGAUGAUGCAGCGGCUCGGCAUCGAGACAGUUGUUAAAGCUAUGGCGCCUGAAGAUGAGCCUGCGUCUGAUUAGCUAGUUGGCGGGGUAACGGCCCACCAAGGCAACGAUCAGUAGCUGGUCUGAGAGGAUGAUCAGCCACACUGGAACUGAGACACGGUCCAGACUCCUACGGGAGGCAGCAGUAAGGAAUAUUGCUCAAUGGGAGAAAUCCUGAAGCAGCAACGCCGCGUGAGGGACGAAGGGCUUUUGCUUGUAAACCUCUGUAGUGAGAGAAAAAAAUCCCAAUCUUUGGGACAUGAUGGUAUCUCAAAAGUAAGCCCCGGCUAACUACGUG
rnacentral:rRNA from 1 species